rnacentral:rRNA from 1 species
AUUGAACGCUGGCGGCAUGCUUUACACAUGCAAGUCGAACGGUAACAGGCCUUCGGGUGCUGACGAGUGGCGAACGGGUGAGUAAUGCAUCGGAACGUGCCCAGAGGUGGGGGAUAACGCAGCGAAAGCUGUGCUAAUACCGCAUGUGAUCUGAGGAUGAAAGCGGGGGACCAGGCAGCAAUGUUUGGCCUCGCGCCUUUGGAGCGGCCGAUGUCAGAUUAGGUAGUUGGUGGGGUAAAGGCCUACCAAGCCGACGAUCUGUAGCUGGUCUGAGAGGACGACCAGCCACACUGGGACUGAGACACGGCCCAGACUCCUACGGGAGGCAGCAGUGGGGAAUUUUGGACAAUGGGCGCAAGCCUGAUCCAGCAAUGCCGCGUGGGGGAAGAAGGCCUUCGGGUUGUAAACCGCUUUUGUACGGAACGAAAAGGCUCUGGCUAAUACCUGGGGCUGAUGACGGUACCGUAAGAAUAAGCACCGGCUAACUACGUG